GGCGGAUGUAGCCAAGUGGANCAAGGCAGUGG
rnacentral:tRNA from 1 species